rnacentral:rRNA from 1 species
CAUGUAGGCGGUUGUUUAAGUCUGAUGUGAAAGCCCUGGGCUCAACCCAGGAAGUGCAUUGGAUACUGGACAACUUGAGUACGGGAGAGGGAAGUGGAAUUUCGAGUGUAGGGGUGAAAUCCGUAGAUAUUCGAAGGAACACCAGUGGCGAAGGCGGCUUUCUGGACCGAUACUGACGCUGAGAUGCGAAAGCGUGGGGAGCAAACA